ACGUUUUGUCCUAAGUCAAAGUUCUAAGAACUUGACCAACUAUAUAGAAAAGAGCAGUAACAUAUAUGACCAAAUUGGUAUAUUAUGAAAAUACAUUUCAAAAUGGAUCUAUUGAUACUAAUUUAGUGCCAUAGAUGCUGCUAAUUUUUCCUAUAAAGUUGGUCAAAGUUAUAAAACUUUGACUUAGGAUAAAAGCUA
rnacentral:pre_miRNA from 1 species